UACGUAGGGGGGCAAGCGUUGUCCGGAUUUAUUGGGCGUAAAGCGCGUGUAGGCGGCCAGAUAGGUCCGCUGUCGAAAGCUCGAGGCUUAACCUCGAGAAGUCGGCGGAAACCAUUCGGCUAGAGUCCGGAAGAGGAGAGUGGAAUUCCCGGUGUAGCGGUGAAAUGCGCAGAUAUCGGGAAGAACGACCCGUGGCGCAAGGUCGGGCUAG
rnacentral:rRNA from 1 species